AUGGCUGGUCAAAGAAACGAUUACGGUAAAAGAUCCCAUUUUCAAUCUGAUUACGUUGGGAAUGGAGGAGGAGGGGGUAAAAGAAGGAAUGCCGGGGAGGAAAGUGAACAGCGUGGGAUUGGCUCCGAAGACACGGUUUACCGAUAUCUGUGUCAUGUGAAGAGGAUUGGGAGUAUUAUAGGGAGAGGUGGUGAGAUUGUGAAGCAGUUGAGGUCAGAUAGUAAGUCGAACAUUAGGAUUACUGAGGCGAUGCCGGGUUGCGAGGAGAGGAUUGUUAUGAUUUACAGUUCGAGUGAGGAAACGAAUCCGUUUGGUGACGGGGAUGAGCUUGUUUCGCCUGCUCAGGAUGCUUUGUUUAGGGUACACGAUAGGGUUGUUGCAGAUGAGUUGCCUGGUGAUGAGGAUUUGGAAGAGCAGACUCAAGUGGUUACUGUGAGGAUGCUUGUGGCGUCUGAUCAGAUUGGUUGUGUAAUUGGGAAAGGUGGUCAAGUGAUUCAGAAUAUAAGGAGCGAAACACAUGCUCAGAUUCGGGUUUUAAGUAAUGAGCAUUUACCUGCAUGUGCUUUGAGCUCUGAUGAGCUUCUUCAGAUUAUUGGAGAGCCCUCAGUUGUGAGGAGGGCUCUUUAUCAUGUGGCAUCUCGUCUUCAUGACAAUCCUUCAAGAUCCCAGCAUCUGCUUCUCUCCUCUCUAUCUAACGUGAAUCAACCUGGUGGGAUGUACAUGAAUGCCCCCCUUAUUGGUUCUUACGGCAACUACUCUUCUAGAAGAGAUGAUGCUUCUGCAAGGGAAUUUUCUCUUCGUUUGGUAUGCCCGGUCGGAAAUAUUGGAGGUGUGAUUGGAAAAGGUGGUGGUAUUAUCAAACAGAUUAGGCAGGAGUCUGGGGCAUCCAUUAAAGUUGAUAGCUCUGCAGCUGAAGGAGAUGAUUGCAUUAUAUUCAUAUCUACAAAAGAGUUUUUUGAAGACCCAUCUCCUACCAUCAAUGCUGCUUUGCGCUUGCAAUCACGAUGCAGUGAAAAAACCGAAAGAGAAUCAGGGGAUUCUGUAAUAACCACCCGUCUACUUGUGCCGAGCUCACAGGUUGGGUGCCUUAUUGGUAAAGGUGGGGCAAUAAUAUCUGAGAUGAGGAGUGCUACUAGGGCAAGUAUUCGCAUACUUUCAAAGGAAAACCUUCCCAAAGUUGCAUUUGAAGAUGAAGAGAUGGUGCAGAUAACUGGAGGUCUUGAUGUCGCUAGCAAUGCCCUUUCGCAAAUAAUAUCGCGGUUGAGAGCUAAUAUAUUUGAAAGAGAGGGAGCACCAGCCACAUUUUUGCCUGUUCUUCCCUACAUUCCCGUGUCAUUAGAUAUGUCAGAUGGUUCAAAAUACGGGAACAAAGAUGGUCAACCACGUAAUCGUGGAUACUCUUCUUACUCAGGGGGAUACAGCUCUGGUGAUUUGUCUGCAAGCGACAGUUAUGGAAUAUAUAGCGGUUCACUUAGUGGAGGUGACAUCUAUGGAUCUCAUGGUGGUCGUAACUCUGGCCGGGGGUUGUCCAAUCAAAACCCAGUUUCACAUAGGAAGCAUGGGUAUUAGUCCCAGACUCUGCAGGUAAGUUUUGGAGGCUGUGUUGUGAAGAGAAAGCUAGAGAGGGAGAUAAGGUUAACCUGAAAUGGAAUCAAUUGAAGGGGUGGUUUUUAUCGUUGAGUUCCUCUGGCAUUGGUAGCAGGUAAGCUAUAUGUAGUAACUGGUAAGUGACUUUUGUAGUCAAUUGGAAUCUGGUUGUAUUUGUGGUAUACACUGAACAGAAUUGGAGCAAUAUAACAGAAAUAGAAAGAUGAAAUGUGAAAUCAUUUUUUUAAUUUGAAGUGAAAAAAAUGAUGGUCAUUUUUAACCUAAAAAAGUAAAAACAAAUGAUUGAAAAGGUAAUUCAUUAAUAUUUUUCUAAUUUUCUUUUAAAACCGAUGAGAAAUAGGUUGAUAUGUCCCAUAAUUGUAGCAUAAACAGCUUUAGUUUCUAAGACAACAGUCAGGUAGUGAUUUAGGGAAAUGGUUGCCACAACUAGGGAGUUUCCAAUGAUCCUUGGCAGUGAGAAAAUUCUAAAAGAAAAUAAUGAUAACAAUACUUUCAGACCUGAUGAUUUGUCUGGUUGUUGAAUAUUACAAUUACUGUUCCAGGGCUAUAUGUUUGCUUAAUAUUCCCAUACAAGUCUCCUUCUAGCCUUGCCUUUCUUCAUCACAACAAACACAUGCUGAGGAGAUUGCUCUUUACUUAAUCGUCAGAAUAAUAGAGAAAGUGGAGAUACGUAUAUAUAUGCAAAAGAAUGCUUGAAUCGUACAAUUUGAAUAUAUUUCUUAUUAUUGUUAAUGCUUUGUUGCUGAUUUUCUCUGUAUCUAAUUAUCUUUUUUACUGCUAUCUUUCAAUUACUAAUACUCGUGUGUGGUGUCUCCCAUGCACAAACCGGUUUGUGGCUGUUAAAAAUUCACCUAGACAUUUACUCAUAUGGAUGUAUAUGCAUGGAUAUUUGAUUUACAUGGGAGUUUUGUUAACAACCAUCAGAACACUUUCUACUGUACUGAGAAAUAGAAUAAUCUUAGAACCUUCUAAAUAUUGGAGAGUCGUUAUGUCUAGCUUCCAUGUGUGGCUAGUUUUAUACACUGAACUGUUGUUUUUAUUACACUAGCAAGUAGCAAGCUUUCCUUUUAUAGUUAUUCUGAAGAUGAUACUCGAUAGAAAUCACUUGUUUAUUUUUUUGACCUUUUGUAUAUACAUAAUACAUUACUCUCUUAGGGAUAAUGCUUGCUGACAGGGUUUUCUAUCCGAGUUGAAAUAUUGUUGGCACUAGUGCAAAAUGUCUUCCUGCAUUCUCAGCUUUGGUCACAAUGUUUGACAUGUACAUCAUGGUUUGUCAAGCUGUUAAUCAAUGCAGUCAAGCAGUUCAUUUGUCUCAUUGAUCUCAUCAGUCAUCGUUCAAAGCCCUCGAACCCUUGUUAUCAGACAAUUAUAUAUAUGUCGUGAGCUGUUUGUGUACUGAGUUUCUGACAUUUAAAUGCAGUUGAUGUACCAUAGAUUGAAUCUGAUGA